GCACGUGUAACUUAAUUGGAAAAGUAUAGACCUUCUAAGUCUAACAAUAAUGGUUCAAAUCCAUUCAUGUGCU
rnacentral:tRNA from 1 species